rnacentral:miRNA from 1 species
ACGCCGAGCACGCGGUGGUAGGCGCCGCGCAGGACGGUCUGCGAGUUGUCGUGCCACGCGGACAGGCGCAGCGAGUCCCACUCCAGGCACCACGAGUGGG